UCUGUUUGCAAGCACACAGGAGUGUGUGCACUAAAGGCAGGAGCUUUUCUUACCGAAGACCUGCUGCUGAAUCAUUUCCACACAUGAACAAAAUGAAAUAAUUAUGACUUUGGAUGUGAAGUUACAUCAAGGCCUUUCAUAACACCUCUGCUUCCUCCUCCCAGGUACUUCCCCUGUGGUACCACAGCGUUCCCAGCCGAGGACACGCUGCCUAGGAGAAAUUCCCUCCCUGAAAGAGUGGUCAGGAAUUGGAACAGACUGACCAGGAAAUGGUGGAAUCUCCAUCCCUGGAAGUGUCAAAGAAGGUGUUGCUGCUGUUCAGGAUUUCCACAAAACUCCCCUCACACUGAUAUGUAAUAGCUGAGAAAUGCAGGUUCCUACAGGCUUGGAUUUAACCUUUAGGUGGCUACUGAAUUGAACCCAUUUUAUCCUGAUUUUCAGAACUCACAGAGUUCCUAAUGUAGGAGGUUUGUAGACAGAGCAGAUGGUGCUGUCCUUUCCUUCAAGGUCGGGGAAAAAAAUAAAGCUGCAGUCAGAUCUGGGUGCCUGAAGUGAAGUGGAGAUUGUGGAACCUCCCUGUCCCAGGGCA